rnacentral:rRNA from 1 species
UGGGGAAUAUUGCACAAUGGGGGAAACCCUGAUGCAGCGACGCCGCGUGAACGAAGAAGGUAUUCGUAUCGUAAAGUUCUGUCCUAUGGGAAGAUAAUGACAGUACCAUAGAAGAAAGCUCCGGCUAAAUACUUGCCAGCAGCCGCGGUAAUACGUAUGGAGCGAGCGUUGUCCGGAAUUAUUGGGCGUAAAGGGUACGCAGGCGGUUUAAUAAGUCGAAUGUUAAAGAUCGGGGCUCAACCCCGCAAAGCAUUGGAAACUGAUAAACUUGAGUAGUGGAGAGGAAAGUGGAAUUCCUAGUGUAGUGGUGAAAUACGUAGAUAUUAGGAGGAAUACCAGUAGCGAAGGCGACUUUCUGGACACAAACUGACGCUGAGGUACGAAAGCGUGGGGAGCAAACAGG